rnacentral:pre_miRNA from 1 species
UGAAUACUCCCUCCGUCCAACAAAGGAUGUCUCAACUUUGACUAAAUUUGAAUGCAUCUAUACACUAAGUCAUGUCUAGAUACAUCCAAAUUUUGACAAACUUGAGACAUCUUUUGUUGGACGGAGGGAGUAGUAA